CAGAAAAGUAAUAGAAGAAACACCUUGAAGGGACAUUUUCCAUUAGAUCCUAUUCAAAUCAUCCUAAUCAUGUCCUCAUGCUUCUCCUGGCAUGCGUCUUGUCUUAGUUUGCCAGUGACAGUGGCAGAGAAGUUUUGACACCUGAAUGGUGAGUAACCACUGAGUGAAAAAUUGCUUUUCUCACUCUGUUUAUGUCAGAAAUGCAAAUGUCACCAUUUUGGGCAUCAGAGUUCAUGAAAAUCUGAAAUGCUGAAGCAUAUUUGCUGCAUAAUACAUUAUCCACUGCAAUAUCAUAAGAGCCACUUUGGAGGCUCGCUUCACUUGACCUACAAAUGUGGCCCCAAUUUCAUUAAGAAAUUGUGAGGUUUCAUUGUUGUUAUUGUGCAUAUGAUAUAAAACACAAUACACAAUAGCUGUGUAUAAUGGCAACCAAAGAAAGGCGCCAAAGAGCAUGGGUGGUAAAGAAGCAGGAGAGAAUUGAAAGCUAAGAUCGUCUUUCUGCCUUUUUGCCUCUGUGAGCCUAUAGAUAGGAAUGAAUCAGUAAGGUCAGGCUAUAAACUUCUAGAUAAGAAAGAAGCUUGUCUGUUUCCCCUGAAAAGCUACUGACUGCAUGUGGGUGUCAUCCGUCUACCUCCAGGGCAUUCCUUCUGUGUGGCUGGUAUUGUAAUGGAGAGGCGAUCUGAUGUUAUCAGUGUGGGACAUCAGCUCUACUUCCCCACACUAGUCUCUAGCAGAAACGUGACAUUGUGAUUCUGGAUAAUCAGGACUGAGAAAGAGUUAAGAUGCCAUAUGAUAAUGAUGCAAGACAGACCUGGAUUAAAGCCCACCCCUCUAUAUCACUCAAGCUGUGUGAUCAUGAGAGCCUCAUCUAUAAAACAGAGGGAAUAAAGUCUACUUCCAAUGCUUGUGACUGGAUGACAUAAUGUAUAUAUCUCCUAAUUUUACAUUCACCAGUUAGAUGUCCCAUAAGCAUACACUGAGUGCUCAAAAAAUUCACUACUUAACACACUUUAAUUGAGCAUAUACUAUGUGCCAAAGAUUGUAUUAGGUAUGAGGAUAUAAAAUUAAAUAAGACAAGGUCAUUGAACUUAUAAUUUAGUAUAGGAGGCAGGCUAAUGAAUACUACUACUAAUAAAUAUACAUAGGGGAAUAGUUUCCAAAUUAAACUGGAGAUUUGAGGGUUUCCAAAGGAAGUAAUGCUUGAGCUAAAUUUGAAAGAUACGGGUAGACAAUACAAAAAAAAAAAAAGGUUCUAUGCAUUUCAGGAAUACAUGUGGAAUCAUGUGACCUGCUU
rnacentral:lncRNA from 10 species